rnacentral:rRNA from 1 species
UACGUAGGGUGCGAGCGUUGUCCGGAAUUAUUGGGCGUAAAGGGCUCGUAGGCGGUUUGUCGCGUCGGGAGUGAAAUCCACUGGCUUAACUGGUGGCUUGCUUUCGAUACGGGCAGACUGGAGGUAUGCAGGGGGAGAACGGAAUUCCUGGUGUAGCGGUGAAAUGCGCAGAUAUCAGGAGGAACACCGGUGGCGAAGGCGGUUCUCUGGGCAUGUCCUGACGCUGAGGAGCGAAAGUGUGGGGGAGCGAAACAGG